GCUGAGGGUCAAAAUCUUGAAUCUUCCUCUUUCGACUUGAAAAAAUCGAUUGUUAGAUGUAGCUUAUCAGCCCCCGAGCCUUGGAUUGAUUGAAUAAUCAAUCCGAGGGUCUUGAAUCUUCAUGGAAGUCAUCAUCCAAGUAGUCUUGCGGCGUCCAGCCCCUGAGCUUAUGCGCCAGGUGAAUCGUAGGAGCCACGUCGAGUAGCUUUGCAGCGUUC
rnacentral:lncRNA from 1 species